rnacentral:rRNA from 1 species
GUCUGUGGCCAUACCACCCUGAACGCACCCAAUCUUGUCUGAUCUUGGAAGCUAAGCAGGGUCGGACCUGGUUAGUACUUGAAUGGGAGACCACAUGCGAAUACCGGGUGCUGUAGGUU